CCUACGGGUGGCAGCAGUGGGGAAUCUUAGACAAUGGGCGCAAGCCUGAUGCAGCCAUGCCGCGUGUGUGAAGAAGGCCUUCGGGUUGUAAAGCACUUUCAGCGGGGAGGAAGGCGGUGAGGUUAAUAACCUCAUCGAUUGACGUUACCCGCAGAAGAAGCACCGGCUAACUCCGUGCCAGCAGCCGCGGUAAUACGGAGGGUGCAAGCGUUAAUCGGAAUUACUGGGCGUAAAGCGCACGCAGGCGGUCUGUCAAGUCGGAUGUGAAAUCCCCGGGCUCAACCUGGGAACUGCAUUCGAAACUGGCAGGCUAGAGUCUGGUAGAGGGGGGUAGAAUUCCAGGUGUAGCGGUGAAAUGCGUAGAGAUCUGGAGGAAUACCGGUGGCGAAGGCGGCCCCCUGGACAAAGACUGACGCUCAGGUGCAAAAGCGUGGGGAGCAAACAGGAUUAGAUACCCGGGUAGUC
rnacentral:rRNA from 1 species